rnacentral:rRNA from 1 species
UGGGGAAUUUUGGACAAUGGGCGAAAGCCUGAUCCAGCAAUGCCGCGUGCAGGAUGAAGGCCUUCGGGUUGUAAACUGCUUUUGUACGGAACGAAACGGCGAGCUCUAAUAAAGUUUGCUAAUGACGGUACCGUAAGAAUAAGCACCGGCUAACUACGUGCCAGCAGCCGCGGUAAUACGUAGGGUGCGAGCGUUAAUCGGAAUUACUGGGCGUAAAGCGUGCGCAGGCGGUUAUAUAAGACAGAUGUGAAAUCCCCGGGCUCAACCUGGGACCUGCAUUUGUGACUGUAUAGCUAGAGUACGGUAGAGGGGGAUGGAAUUCCGCGUGUAGCAGUGAAAUGCGUAGAUAUGCGGAGGAACACCGAUGGCGAAGGCAAUCCCCUGGACCUGUACUGACGCUCAUGCACGAAAGCGUGGGGAGCAAACAGGAUUAGAUACCCUCGUAGUCCCUGAGCGGGCUGGCAAGGCGCAU